rnacentral:rRNA from 1 species
CCUACGUGAGGCUGCAGUGGGGAAUAUUGGACAAUGGGCGAAAGCCUGAUCCAGCCAUGCCGCGUGUGUGAAGAAGGCCUUCGGGUUGUAAAGCACUUUCAGUGGGGAAGAAAGCCUUGGGGCUAAUACCCUCGAGGAAGGACAUCACCCACAGAAGAAGCACCGGCUAACUCCGUGCCAGCAGCCGCGGUAAUACGGAGGGUGCGAGCGUUAAUCGGAAUUACUGGGCGUAAAGCGCGCGUAGGCGGUCUGAUAAGCCGGUUGUGAAAGCCCCGGGCUCAACCUGGGAACGGCAUCCGGAACUGUCAGGCUAGAGUGCAGGAGAGGAAGGUAGAAUUCCCGGUGUAGCGGUGAAAUGCGUAGAGAUCGGGAGGAAUACCAGUGGCGAAGGCGGCCUUCUGGACUGACACUGACGCUGAGGUGCGAAAGCGUGGGUAGCAAACAGGAUUAGAUACCCUAGUAC